CAGUGGCGAACGGGUGAGUAACACGUGGGCAAUCUGCCCUGCACUCUGGGACAAGCCCUGGAAACGGGGUCUAAUACCGGAUAUUACUGUCGCAGGCAUCUGUGAUGGUGGAAAGCUCCGGCGGUGCAGGAUGAGCCCGCGGCCUAUCAGCUUGUUGGUGGGGUGAUGGCCUACCAAGGCGACGACGGGUAGCCGGCCUGAGAGGGCGACCGGCCACACUGGGACUGAGACACGGCCCAGACUCCUACGGGAGGCAGCAGUGGGGAAUAUUGCACAAUGGGCGAAAGCCUGAUGCAGCGACGCCGCGUGAGGGAUGACGGCCUUCGGGUUGUAAACCUCUUUCAGCAGGGAAGAAGCGCAAGUGACGGUACCUGCAGAAGAAGCACCGGCUAACUACGUGCCAGCAGCCGCGGUAAUACGUAGGGUGCGAGCGUUGUCCGGAAUUAUUGGGCGUAAAGAGCUCGUAGGCGGCUUGUCGCGUCGGAUGUGAAAGCCCGGGGCUUAACUCCGGGUCUGCAUUCGAUACGGGCAGGCUAGAGUUCGGUAGGGGAGAUCGGAAUUCCU
rnacentral:rRNA from 1 species